UUUAUGAAAAAAAAAAAGUAAAAAAAAAAACAAACAAAAGGCUGGUGAGAGGUUGUGUAGGGAGUUGUCUGACUUACGUACUUGCAACUUGGAUCUCAUAGCUUAAUGCAUAUAUACCUAAAAUGGGCAAAAAGUGCUUAUAUUGGCCACAGAAUAGGACUGUAAGCAACGACUGGCUUGGUCACAGGAGUGGGGAGAUAUCCGGGCUUUUGCAUUGCCCUUUGCUCCUCCCUGUUUGGCUUUGCAUGAGCUUUUAGGCAAAAAAGUCCAGCAGGGGCUGAGCUGUAAACAUAGUCAGCCACAACUGCAAAUCUGUGGUGCUCUGCUGAAGGUCCUCAGACUGGACCAAUUCACAGCAGCGGGAGGAUCGAGCUUUCCAAAUCUGUGAUAGGACUGAAGCCUGCAUCCAGCCCUGUGGAGGAUGAGCCACCUCCACUUUUUUUUUUAUCUCUGAAGAUGUCCUGGGGCAGAGCUGGAGGCCAAGGCCCACCGGAGCCUGCUCGCAUCACCAUGCCUGCUGAGCAGGAGACCGGGCCGCGCUGCUCCCGCUAACCCCUGGCCACAGGCCCACUGGCUUCUGCGAUGGCCUCAGCAACAUCUGCUUCAUCCAUUAGCAUAGCACUCCUCUCCUGGCCUCCGGCCUGAGCCUUUGCUGCCAUUGAUUAGCAGCAAUUUCCUUCCCAAACCCGAAUGUUCGCCGGACGCCAGAUUGGAUUGCAGUCUGCCUGCCGUUGCAAAGCCACAGUGUGGGUGUGCAUGCACAGGAGUAUAAAUAGCACUGACUUGUUGCCCUCUGAGACGUUUCAGGAACUCUUCUGCUCUCGCUGAAGUUCGGAUUGCCUUCAGAUAUCUUCCCUUUGAGCUCAUGAGUAUAAACUUAUUUCGUGCCUCACCAGCUUUGACUCCUAAACCACGUUCUCGUGUUUGCAUGUUUCUCUCGUUCAACUUCAGCAGUUACAGCACCAGGAAACAUCACUGAUUUCUCCUGCACUGGAAAGCUAAUGCCUGUGUUACUGUUUAUGAAAAGCUUAUUGUCUUCUUGGAAAGAAAGGGAAGUUUUAAAAUGCUUUCUUAAGCAAAUGAUCUCUUGCACCCUUAAAAAAUUUUCUCACCCAGUGACCCAGAUCUGUGAUCCUUUAAAGCUCUAGAAAACCAAUCAUAUUAAAAACCUUUUCUUUUUUUAAUUAGAAGAUUGCUAACUAUUUCCUGUAUCAUUAAGCCAAUGCCAAACCUCUUCACCAUUAAGGCUAUAUCCACUCUGUAUGGCCAGGCUGUGGUAUUUGGGAGAGUUUCCAGAAAAACAAAUGGACAAACCUGGACGAGCUCUUCUCCGGCUUGGUUUCUCCUUUGCAGGUUAUCUGACUUAAUCAAUUUUCCUAUCCAGCCCCAAGAUGAAGAACAGUGACAUGAAACUGCAUCUGAGGCUGCAGUGCAGUGGCCCAAGCUGCCUCUGUUGUGUCAUUUCCUCCUCUUCUCCUGGUUGUCAGGAUUUGCAGUAGGUAAGCUGGUAGGAUGCAAAGUUCAGCUCUUGUGCUGGAUGGACACACUGGGUUUGUCUAACACAGCAUGUGGCUGUAUUACAGUGUUUCCAAAGGAGGUGACUCAGAAGCCGUACCUCCAUUUAGCAGCGCAUCAUGACAUGGAAGUGAACCAAAGCACUUAAGAACAUGAAGAAGAAGUGUAUAGCAAAGGAGGGAGGAUGGGGCUUAGGAUUGGAAAAUAAUUUGGGUCAGAAGAGCUGUCUGGAGGCCUCUAGUCCAGCCUUUGCUUGAUACCAGGCCGCCUGUGAAGCUGUAUCAUACCAAUGCCACUACGUUCUGCCUGCUAAUUGAAGUUGGGUGGGAUGGCUCUUCUGGUAGAUUACAAUGCUGAUUUUGAAGACCUGCUUAGAUAGGCCUGUGACCUCCAGGAUCAUUCUGAUUACAAAUGUGUCCACCACAAAGCUGCAGAAAGCUUGUGAUGAGGAAGGGAAAAAUGUUCUUGCAUGUCAAUGUCCUUCCAGGAAAAAAAAUGGAAACUGUAGUGUUUGGCUCACACAAGAGAGCAAACACAACAUCUCCCUGAGUGUCUAAAUUGCCAUCUGCAAUAGAGAGACAGGGUAAAGCUUGUUUACCAUGGCAGGCUUGAGGGUGAUGCAAUCUGUCAGAAUUAUAAAAUAUUCUUGGAACUGCUAAAUAUUAUAGAUGCUAAUUCCACUUCAGAAAGUAUCCUGGAGCAGAUGAAAUCUACUGAACAUCAACUUGACACAAAGUGAAAUGGCAUCAAUGUAGGAAUUAGCUCCUGCUUGGUCUCAGUUUCCUGGGACUUGCUCAAGGAUGAUUUACCAGUUGCUCCUAACUCUGUAAUCCAGUAAGGAAGGCUGCGCUGGUGAAAAAGACAAGUUGACAUAGAAGGGAAGUAAAACCCACUACUUAAAGCACAUGAAGCCUCACAACAGUCUGCAAGAGAUGGAAAUAGCAAAUGGAGAGCCAUGGAUGUGAAUGAGAUGUUAGAAGUUGUUAAUAACAAGGAAGCUAAAGGAAACAACAAGAAAUUUUUGGCCAGUGGCAUUAAAAACUGAAGAUAAAAGCCACCGUCCCCCCUGCUGCUUUCAGUCCUCCAUUGUCACCAUCUGAAAACCUGAGUCUUCAGGUAAGUACAGUUAGUUUACAGUGGCUGCAAAGAGUGUUAGACCUUAGAAGAUAAACCACAUUGGUAUAAAUUGACCGGGAAGGCGAUAGUAGUUCAUAAAAAUCAGAAAAAAUCUCAUUUGGGACCUUCUGCCAGUGCAGCUGGUGUGUGAGAGGUGACUGGGCAGCCACUAACACUGCCACAUCACUACCUCAAUGAAAAACAACCACAAGAAAGCCUUUUGCUUUUGGAUAAGGAGCUCCUGAGAGCUUUGAAGAAAUCUGAGGAGCUUGGAGGGCUGCUGAAAGCUACCAAACCCCACUGUUGAGAUAUUGUAUCACACAGAGAGAAUGCAGGAAGACAACGCGAGCCGUUGCAAAUGCGCAGAUUGACCAGAUGUUUGUGUAAUUAACACUGCUCAGUGGGCAGUCACAGGAAAAUACCUAUUCCAGCCUUUUCUGCUCAUGAUAGGUGAGACCUAAACAUGGAAUUUUGUGCAGAUGAAGUCCACAGGGAGGUGAAACACUGGAACAGGUUUCCCAAGGAGGUUGUGGAUGACCCUUCUGAGGAGGCAUUCAAGGCCAGGCUGGAUGUGGCUCUGGGCAACCUGGUCUGGUGGUUGGCGACUCUGCACAUAGCAGGGGGGUUGAAACUCGAUGAUCAUUGUGGUCCUUUUCAACCCAGGCCAUUCUAUGAUUCUGUGAUUAUAUUUGAUCAUGUGGGACAGCAUGUAUGGAAAGCAUCUAAAAACGUGCAUGAAGCGUGAGCCUGGUGGGUCUGGACAAGCUUCUAAGUGUAAUUGCAGGGUGUGAUUCCCAAAGUGAGGGUCUGGCUUAGGUUAGUCCCUGGCCAUGUGUUAUUUUUUAUACAAAAAUAACAAUAUUCUUCAACAUUUUUAUAUAAAAUACAAAGCCUGUGCUAAAGGUUUGCAGGUGGAAGAGGCCAAGAGAACUGCUCUCACGGAAGUGACCAUCAUGCUUUAUCCAGCCUACACAAGCCUACAAGUUACAUGAGACCACAUCCUGAAGCAGGCCGAGCCCUCCCAGCUUCAAGCGCUUCCAUAUCACACAGAACACCAUUUCGUUGAGGAAAAACCCUCAACAGCACUUGAAAAGAAAGAGAAAAGAAAAUGACUUUAUUAUUUCCAUUGUGGUGGAAACAAGUAUUUGGUGUCUUCUUAAGGUGUGAGAGUUUGUGCGUCCGUGGCCAACUGCUCAAGUACUCCGAGCCUUUAUUCCUGCAUAUAAGCUGAUGUCCUGCUUAGAGUGGAGAUUUACAACCUGCUCACCAUGGGGGUUGCAUCAGUAAGACAUGUGUUCUCCUCGUUCUCAUACAUUAGCUUGUUUUGGGAGGGGAAAAUGGCUGCUCCCUUCAAAGAAAUCCCGGCUUUUGCUGAUGCUAUCUGGCAUUUUCACGGUGUCAUCAUUUUGCAACUCAUUUCGUGAUCCAGGGCAAAUGUGCGUCAGGGCACUGGGGUUUUGGUAUACCACAGACGUCAUCUGCUUCUCAACUGCCGCUAACUUGAGGAAGUUGUCAAAAAUACAAAGGGUUUCUCCUACAGAGGAAAACACAUGGCUUAGAAAGCAGUGGGAGCUGCCUGUUUUCCUUUUUGGGUGAAGAACAGGAAUUUUCAGAAUUUGGUCAGAAAGUGGUUUGGGCUGUGGGAGAAGUUGGACUUUGAUCCCAGGGAAAAUCAACUUUGAGAUAACAAGCUCUACAAAAACUCCCCAUUUAUUUGGUACAUUCAUUUGUUUUCAACUAUGUAUGUGCACAUAAUGUGAAUGUAACUAUAUAUAUAAAAUGUCUUCCAUCCUUUCCUCUUUGUGACCGUAGCAGGAGGAAGGGCCUUUACAGCAGCCACCAAAGGACUAAGACGUGUGACAGAGGGAACAGCGUGUUCUUCCAGAGCAUGAAGCUUGGCUCUGGUGCUCACUUCAGGUGGUUAUAUGCGUGGCAUAGAUGCCACGAAUGACUCACAGAUGACUGCAGUACUUAAAAUUUCCUACAAGGGGUUGAUCUGAGGUGAACAGAUAGAGGAAGGAGACAUUAUAUGUAGCUCUGUGGACUGGUUCUUCAAGGGUGAUGCAGAAGUCAUUUGCAUGUGAAGUUCUCCCUCUGGCAAAGCUUAGUUUUACAGCAAAAUAUUCUCAGGAAUUCUGUUAUAUUGUGAAAGCCAGAUGAGGGAGGCUGCCUGAAAGCAAUACAAGAUGGCCAGUGUAUCUGGCAAACUAGAAACUUCCUGAUGUAUGUGUGAACAUGACCAAAUACUAUCUAAUGUGCCAAACUGCUCUGAAAGCACAUUUGAAUCAGAAUUAAGUUCAUGCAUCUGGGCCAUCCUGCAGCUGCUUCUACAGGAACGUGUUUGGGUCUAUAGUAGCCUUACUUUCAAGCUUGACCUGUCUUCUGUUGCUUGUAUCUCUUUUGGAGAACUAGAAGACCUUCAAAAGAAACAGCUGUGGUUCUUAUAGUCAUCAGUAGUACUUCCAGCUUGUUUCAGAGAUGCAGCUUGCCCAUUCUCUUUCCGUGCUGCAAUUUGAAAGGUUGAAUGGACUCAAGACAUGCCAAAAUGAUGCACAUUUGGUAUCACUAAAAUUUUCAGCACUUACUGCUUGUCACCAUAAGCAGAGUUGUAACCACACAGGUGCUGCAUCAGAAGAGAGAAAAGCUGGAGCCAAUACUAGUGGAAUCAUUUGACCUGACCUCAAUGGCAAGGGGCAGCCCCAUGAUGUGAAGGCUGGAAGUUCCUGUGUCCAAGGGCAAAAGCUUUGGAAAACUCAGAGGGUAAAGUAGCCAUGCGUUUCUCGAGAUCUACAUUCACUUCUACUUUUAGUGGCUUGGACCAAACCUUAAUGUAAGCAACUGCUUUGGCAUGUUGCACUAAAAUUUUAUCUGGAUGGUGUCGCAAUGUCCUUUGAGCUGUGGGAGAAGACAGUGCUUGAAAUAUGCAUGUUUGAGCAAGUUCAACGCAGCUUGCUUUUGCUGGAGCCUGACUUUCUUUCCUGGACAAAGCCAGAGAUUUGUGGAGUCUAAUAAUGUGUCAGCAAACCAACUUGGCAUAUAGAAAUGAGAAGGGCGAGUCCCUGUUCCAGUUGCAUAAAAAUGUCAGUGUGUGUGGGGAGUAGAUGAAGGUAAAAUUAAGGCCUAGUUUAUUUUCUUUCCUUUAAAGUGUAUUGUGUUUCUUGCUGAUGAGAAUGAUUUCAUAAUUACAAGCAUAUGGUGAAAAUGUCUGGGUAUCGGUAGAGAGUUGAGAUCUGAACUCAGGUCUGGUCUAGACUAUAUUCCUGUGGUCGUACAGUAGGUAAAUCUUGUGGCACAAUUUCUUGACUUUUUAACACGAGAAGCACUGCCAGCAUGUGAUGACCCAGAUAGACCAUUGGUGAUCUCAGAGAACAUGGUCUAUUUGCUUUCUAGUUUUGCCGACAUGCUUGGGGUCAGCAUUUUGAGCCAUACCCCGUAGGCAUGUCCUAGACAUUUUCUUCUGACACCAAGGAGAAUUGAUGUAACUACUGGUUUUCAGGAAUGCAAGCUUUAAAACAAAUAAUCAGAAGUUAAAAAACUUGUUGUAAAACUGACAGUUCAUGUUUUACUUGUUAACGUUGUUCCAAAUGUAAAAUUGGAGUGUGCUUUAAAAUCGUUACAGUGCAGUUCCCCAUGAGGCAAAAUGCCUUCAGUCUGCUGGGAAUGACAAACAAUAAUGGCAGAAGGAAAGUCAACAGGGCUAAAAUUAAAAUACUUGUGUUUAUAAUUGCUUUUACCAAGUUCCUGGAAGGCCCCUGUUUCAGAUGCAGGAUCCUGUAGGGUUAGGUGAAAUAGAACAGAGCAUAAUCCCAGUCCCAGAAGGUUUUGAGCUAUGCAGGUCUCUUCCACUGACCAGACUUCCACUGACACACUUGGAGACCAUGUUACAGACAUAUCAUUUCUAAUUGAAAAAAAUAAUUUAUAGAUUUUUUUUUCAACAGCAAAUUAUAUUUCUUCCAUCUUGUUAAUGACUGUUGGAUGGACAAUGCAGAAGGAUCCCUUUUGCAGGACAAAAAGGCUACAAAAAUAAUAGAAAUGAACGUCUGCAGCUGAAGAGUUUGGCUGGGACUUGAAAAGUUUGCUUUGGGUACGAGCCAGGUCCUGCUGAGGUCUGCAGGAAUUUUGCUCUUGGCCUCAGUGGGACCAAGCUUUCACCCUUGGAGGCCAUGUCCUGAGGAAGAAUUUAGUCUGAAAUAGUUUUCAAAACUUGUAUUGUUUGACUCACAACCAAGCAUUUUGUUGAGACCGAGUGGCUUUGUAUUUCUGAUUGACUCAUGUUGCUCAUCUUAGCAUCCUGCAGCAGUGAUCUCUCAAGGAAAUCCAAGUGUGAGAGAGGAUUGCAUGUAAGGUUCCUAAACCAACAGCUUCUUGCAGGUCUUCCCAGGUGUCUGCUUAAGCUGUAUAUUUUUGGGAGGAGAUGUGCCUUGGAGCCCCAGCACAUCAGCACACUGCACUGAAGCUAUGGCUGUGACCUGUGGCAUGACUGGGAUAUGCCCAUCCAGACCCUGGUCAUCUUUGAUAGACCCAUCCCUCCAUUCUGCAUAUGAUUCUGUGAUUCAUGGUGAAACAAAUAUUUGAAGGAAGAACAGAGAACUAGUAAAGUGUUUUGAUUUAUACCUCACAUGUAUGCCCUUCCUUAUUACCCCCUUGGUCAUUUUUCCUGUAGACCUCAGAGACCACAUUGAAAAUAACCACUAUCAAAGUGAGGUUUGUGCCAUUCUUCUUCUUCUUCUGAUUAGAGCUAGGAUAACACAUUCAAAUAAUAAGUCUGAAGCUGGGCAUGGGUGGGACAACACUACUGUACUCUUAACACUGCAUGUUCUAGGCAGAUUUAACAUGCAGGUCUUGCAUUGUUGGACUGCACAAGUGUAGUAAUGUUGGAUUUUACUGCUCUAUAUCAACUUGUGAUGAAACGUGGUGACAUCAGCAGAGACAAAGGUCCAUUUCGUAUAAAGCUUGCAAAAACACCAAGUGCUUGUUUGGUCAUUCAGAACACAGAGCUGGGGAAAACAACUUGCUCAGUUCACAGCCCUGAAACCUCUGGAGAUGCGUGGCUGGGUUAUUUCCUUGAUAUUCUGUGAUAUUAUGACCUGUUCUAAUAGCACAGGAUCAUAGAACUGUAGGAGUUGGAAGGGAGGAUUAUUGAGUUCCAGCCCCUGCUAAAGCAGAUUCCAUACAGGAGGUUGCACAGAACAGCAUCCAGACCCAAAGAAGGAGACUCCACAACCUCUGUGAUCAGCCUGUCACAUUUAAGCAGUUUAUAGUUAUCAAGAUUUAAGAUUUUCCUCCCGAAGUCAAUUGGUUUCAUAGUAGACCCCAACAAAUCAGUAUUUUUGUUUUGCUGAAAUGGAGUGUGAUAUCAUUUUAAUGGCUCCUUUCUGAAAACCUUGAAAGCUGCUUAAGAAACAGAUUCACAGUGUAUGGGCUCGAAAACUAUCCCGUUCUGGUACACUUGAAGUUGUCGAGCACAGAGUGCAUAAUUUAGAAUUGAAAAGAAAAAGAUGUAUCUGUGAAUUAAGGACUGCAAUACAGGAGCUAUCAACCACCAAGAGGCUCUUUUAACCUCAGCAGAGCUGUGCUCUUUAAUGUGUUUUUGUGGGGAAGAAGAAUAAAAAGGAAAUCUGAGAAAACUGAUCUUUAUUUUUAGAAAAAUAAUUUCUUUUUGCUAAGGAGGACUUUUUAUUUUCUGUGCUCUAAAUAAAGCAGUGAUAUGGUCCUGUUGUGCCUCAGGCUAUCCGCUUAAAAGAAAAGGCUCCAAAGAUGGACCAUCUGGAAGCCUGUGCAAGAGCACGCCAGUGCUGUUUGAUGUGGAAGAGCAUCCUUUGGAUGUAUUUUUGAACACUGCUCAAUCCGCUGAAGUUUUUUUUUGUGUGUGUUGAGCUGAUGGGAACAUCUCAGAGGAUUUUGCUUCAUGUGUUAAUGCUGCUUGCUUCUUUUUUCAUUAAAUGAAAGCUGGGAAGCAGUGUUUCUCUCUAGAAGCACUUUCGAGAUCUGCAGGUGAUCACAACGCAAAGGGAGUCAGUUGCACAUUCUUGGCCAGAUCUGCUCUUUCCAGGGCACAACAAGAACUUCCUCCUCUUCCCAUUUUUUUCUGGGAUGCCUGGGAUCUCCUUGGUUCCUGCAAGGCCAAAAAAGUUCUCUGUUUUGUUGUUGUGGUGGUGUUUUUUUGUUCAGGACUUUGCCUGAUGUACUUUGUUUCAGUGCUGCAUCUGAGAUGAGGAGAAAUUCACCCCUGGUUCUGGGAUAAGGGGUUCACCCCCACCCCAUGCAGUGUUUCUCUGAGCUUAUGUUCUCAGAUGUUCAAGUCCCAUCCCUGCACAUACCGGUGCCCUUUUGGCUCAACCUGCACAUCUGACAGCCUAUGCACUUUGCCCUCCCAUUAAGAGGCUACUCGUGUAAGGAAUUAGGGUCUUGUAGUUACAAGCUUCUGCAGGGAAACAAAACCACUCUUUUCUUUAGAUGAAUGUUGGACAACUCUUUUUUGUUUGUUUGUUUUGAUGGAAACUUGUGAAAUAAGCAAGAUCAUCUCCACCUCCUAAAAGGAGCUCUCAGUGCUUCGUGCAGCCUCCAAGAGAUUACUUUUGUUUUUAUUUGGGGGGGGGAGGGUCAGGGAUGUGGGCCAAAGUGGGACGUUUGCGAGCUGGUGAAUCUUCUGAAAAGGACAAGUGUAGGCACUUUGUCUCCUCUCAGCAUGGCCAGCGUGGAAAGCAGUGAAGGACUAAAGGACAUCGCAGUGUCGUGGACAUUCGUGCCACUAACUGCUGUUGCUUUCACCAGCCAUAUGUACAGCUGCGUUCUUUUUAUAGUGCUGCAUAUGGCACUAUCGUAAUUGAAUUUUUCUUAAUAAUUGAUCUGACCUGUAUCAUUCUGUUCAUUUUAGGAGAGCUAAUUCAAGCAGAUUGAGAUUAGGACUAAAAAUAUGGUUUGGUUAGCGGAGGAACCAUAAAGAGCGCGACUUCACAGUAAUGAUGACACACAAUCUGUUUUACCCAGAUAGGCUCAUACUAUUUAUAUGUAGCACACUGUCAAGGCUGGUGCCUUGUCUGCCUUGCAGUAGCUGUGAUACAUGGAGUAGUGGCAGUCCUGUGCUGAAGAGCACUCUAAUUCCAUGUUUUGGGACCUUCCCACCUUAUCACUUCCUCUAGCAAGGCUGUGGGGUCCAAGAUUGCAGCUGAUGGCCCUGUCUCUGUUGUAGUAACUCUCCAACUUGCCCAUCCAUGUGAGGAAUUGAAUCUGCACUGUCCCAGCCCUGGGCAGGGGAAACGCGAGUCUCUAGCAUGGUGAGCUUAGCUUCUCACAGCAAGCUAUGGAAAUAGCAAUGAAAUUGGAAUAGGUGAGCUGGAUCCUGCCUCAUGUUUAGAAAUGAAAACCCUAGGGUAGUCUCUGAAUUGCCCUUUGCUGAAAAGGAUUUUGGCUGUUUGGUUCAGACUCCCGAAUGUAGGAACGGCGGAGGUGGGACUGCAGACAACUAAGAAAGUUAGAAACGGCCCAUACGAUUAGGAUGCUGCAAAACGAGUGGCAGCUCUUUCUCUCCCAGAGCUCUCGGCUGCAGCUGAGUAUCUGGACCAGACGUUAUUUUUGGCAAGAGGAAAAAAUACAUCUCCCUUGAUACUGUGCAAAAAAAAUGAAAGUAAAUGUUGAGACAUACACGAGGGCAAGGAUCUCCUCUGUUGUGUGGCAGCAGUGCUUUUAGAACUGAAAUCCACUUGCUUUGAUCACUGAUUAAAAAAAAUGGACAUAAAAGGGAUUUAUUGUGAAAUAAUGGAUUUGAUCCCCAGUAAUCCUUUCUUUGGGAUUAGACUUGGAAUAUUAUUUUUGUGAUCUGUGGAAUUAGACCAUGCUGGCAUGACAGACCAAAGCACGUGAGUUUAACUGCAGGAUGAGGCUGAGCUGCAAACAGAGUGAAUUACUUGCACAGAACAAAGCAGCUGAUAAAUCUACAGCUCUGUAUUUAAUGACGCAAGAUCCACAUGCAAGCAUAGAAACAGAAAAAAAAAAUCCUAAACUGAAGGCAGGAAAGACCCCUUCUUCCCAGCUGACACUGCAGAGAAACACUGUGAUCACAGAAUCAUUGAAUCAUAGAAUGGCUUGGGUUGGAAGGGACCUCAAGGAUCACCGAACUCCAACCCCUGUACCAUAGGCGAGGUUGCCAACUGCGUGAUCUCUGUGGACUGCUGGCUAGAGCUUCUGGUUUGAGUAUUUUCUGCCACAAGAACUACAAUUUAUAGCUGCUCCCAAUGGAAUGACUGAGGGACUUAGAAUGUCGGUGCAAACUCGGUGCAGGUCUUCAUGUAUGGCCACAAUACUUCCCAGUGAGAUUUGGCAAGCCCCAGGCUCGCUGCCCAAACAGUGCCUGCGUGCACAGCUCCUUGGUCUCCCAGCACACUGCUGAUUUGGCCUGAUGUGUGCUGAGAAGUCCUCCUGAGUGGUUCGUUAUGGGUAUAUUAUAACAAAAUAGGUACAAAAUGUGCUAUGAAUCCCUGGUAUGUAACUUUGAAGUCCCAAACCUUUCACAAAAAGCAACUGCAAGGAACUCCUCUCACUUCUCCUGCCAGAUUUUGACUCUGAACUCAAAGUGGGGCUGGAGAUGGCUUUUAAAACAGAGGGAGAGUUCCUUUGUGUUGUGCUCUGAAUCAGCUGAUCUUCAAAACAAAACAAAACAAAACACAAAAGCUGUGGGACAGAGAGCAAGCGAAGGAAAGGUAAAAUAUCCCCUGCCAGACCCAUUCCUGCUUUCGCUGCUGGACUCACAGCCACACUUCUGUUUGCAAAGGUCACUCCUGCAGCAGGACAUGGCCCAGGCUCCUGCCUUGCACAGCCGUGGGAGCUGCUGGGCACAUCAGUACCCCUAAGCAUAACCCAGGUCUGCUUCUAGUAGGCUUGCUAUUUCAGUCCUUUGAGGACUCUGCUUUUUCCUCAGGGCUUGCUAACCCACAAAGCUGCCUGCUCUGCCUUGAGAGCUGCUGGUGCAGGACUGCUGCUCCGGCUUGGGACAUUCAUAGAGCACUGGGAUUCCCAUUAAAUCUUCUGCUACUAGCAUAGGUUUCCCUAUUAAAAAAAACUGCAGUACAUCUUGAAACUGGGCAAGCCACACCAUGCAAACUCUUGGGAAGAAGCUGGUUACAACAGCCCAUGUUCCAAGUCUCAUGAUUCCUUCGUAGGAUAAAAACGUGUUAAUUAUCUCCAUUUUUUGAUUUAGAGGGAGGGAGUUGCUUUUCCUCACAGCAAUGUAUAUCGAAGGGUUACAAGUGGUGCACGAGGAGUUUGUAAUAAAUCCUGCUUGGCAGUUAUUCAGAAGGUUUCCUUGAGUACACUGUGUCUGAUUAUUGCAGCUGACAGCUCUGUACACGGCGUACAGCAGACAUCACCUGGCACAGCACCACUGUACGCCACCUGGCAAAACUGGGGCAAAACUCAGAGGCAGCCAUGAGAGUUUUCUGCCACAAUUUGUGCUGAAUAUUCCCUCACCCUACCCCAUUCCCUGAUCCUUACUCCCUACCUCACACACAUGCUCUUGGAUGAAGUGCACCCAAUUUUUGCGCACAGUGCAAAUCUGGUAGGAGCGGCUGACAUCAGCAGUGUCAGUCCAGAGGGACCUUGAGAAACGUGGAGAUUCAGCCAACAGAAACUUCCUGAAGUUCAGCAGUGAGACAUGCAACGUCCUUCAUGGGGAGCAGGAAAUCCUCAUGCAUAGAUCCAGGCUGAAAGCAGCCGGCUGAGAGGCCUCAGUGGAAGGGGCGCAGGGUACGCAGUGGGUGCUGUGUUCA
ensembl:lncRNA